AGGGGUUUCUAUGGGAUUCUGUGUGUCAUAUAGGCUCGGGGGUGUAAAGUAAAAGCUGUGAAAAUGUGAAAUCGCUCACUGUCGCCAUUUCUCCACCCCCCACAGAACUAGACCACCUCCCAGCUAAACGGGCCAGUUAGAAUUUGAUGUAUUUACUACGUAGAAACCGGGUAACCAAUGGGUGUCGUGUUCCAAAAUCGACCUAGCCCCGCCCCCUUUUCUAACGUUCGCUUUGUGCUGCUGAGAAGAAUUAGAAGAAGCGGGAGUCAUGUCUGGAGUUAAGUCGUCCCUGAAAACCCAUUAUGUCUAUGUGAAAACCGGCCACGAGAAAUGCGUCAUUCCAGGGUGCAGAGUAUCAAAUACAUCACUGCACUGCCUUCCAAAAGACAAAGAUGUCGCUGACAUGUGGAUGGAUUUUAUUUUUGGAGACUUGCCUCAACCUGUGCCGAGUCAGGCUUUUCGGCUAUGUACUGCACAUUUCUCACCGCAGUCCGUACUGAAUCAGGGGCUAUAUGAUGCUGGAGUCGUAUCAAAAUUACUGUUGAUGAAAGGAUCCAUUCAAACUAUUCGGCACACUAUCCCAAGCAUUGAAACGGGAGCCAUUAGACCCGUUUCCCAGGCCAAUACCUCCCGGAGUAUUGGCUGCCAGAAAAGAUCUGUUGGAACCCAACUAUCCAAGGACACUCUUAAGACCCACGUCAGAAGCAGAGCUUCUCAGACAAGUGUGGUCUGUGAGAAUGUGUGGUCUCCCCCACUUCUCACCUCAACACCCUUGAAGCCCCUUCCACCCAAAAAGAGGCCGCGACUGGAACUAGAGGAGGACGACGAUGAAUGGGAGGCCUCCACUGAGGCUACUGACCCUAAUGACUCCACUUUCAUUCAAAGUGUAUCAAUGACAACAGAGUCAUCGACUGUAUCUCAAGGAAUAUCCAAUAGCUAAGUGUCUCAAUUCUGAUGUGAAUAAUAUUUCUUAUGUUUGUUGUGCUUCUUUUCAUCUUUUUUUCCCCUUGCACAGACAAGCCUCACCACCAUAUGAUGUACCUAAAUAUAUUGUAUACGAAAACUGCCUCCUCGAGUUGUUUGAGUUAUGUCCAGUGUGCAGCUCCAUGUGUGAUGUCCGGAAAACUAUACGUGGGACUUUCCUUGCUGUUGAUCAGACGUGCCACCGUUGUGAGUUCAACAGACAGUCGAAGAGUCAACCGUUCAUCGGAAGUACACCUGCAGGGAACAUUCAUUUCUCUGCGGCUGUAUAUUUUACAGGGACAUCUUUCAUCCAAAUGAAAAAGGUUUUCAACGCGUUGGUGUGAAGAGCAUACAAUACCAAGCUUUCCGGAAACAUGCCAAAAGCUAUCUUGAACCUGCCAUUGUUUGGAAAUGGAAACGGGCCCAGCAGGUUGAGCUUCAAAGUUUAAGCCAGCAGAGCGAGGUCAUCAUUGGAGGAGAUAUGCGGGCAGAUUCUCCAGGCCAUUGUGCCAAAUUUGGAAGCUAUACCGUGAUGAAUCUUGAAACCAACACAGUAAUCGAUAUCCAACUUGUGCAGAGCAAUGAGGUCGGAGGGAGUUACUACAUGGAGAAGGAAGGUCUGAAGCGAAGCCUUGCUCUUCUGGAGGCAGGUGGUGUCACAUUGGACUGCAUAGUCAAAGACACCCCCAGAUUCAAAAAUACCUGAGAGAAAAGGGCAUCAAACAGUACUAUGACGUCUGGCAUAUUGAUAAGGGGAUGUCUAAGAACAUCAACAAACUUGCCAAGAAAAAGGAUUUUGAGGUGGUAAAAAAGUAUUCGGAACCAUCUACUGGACUGCAUCAUCAUCCAAGACGGGCCCAGAGAAGGUGGCAAAGUGGAUACCUGUCAUCAAUCACAUCCACAACAUUCACACACACGAAGACCCCCUUUUUACAAAGUGUGAGCACAGUGAUGUCAUAGAUAAGAGGAGGUGGUUGAAGCCAGGAUCAAAGGCUUCCUACAGACAAACAAGAGGUUCAUCAAGGGUGUGGAGAAGCUAAGCCCUCACCACCAAACAUCCUCUCUUGAGGCCUUCCACAGCGUUGUCAUCCGCUUUACACCAAAGAGUGUGGUGUACCCAUUCAUUGGGAUGCUUUACAGUGAGGUGAGCCAGUCUGAGCUCAGCUGGACCGACGACCUCAACGACGUUAGUGCAAGGAGGAGCAACAGCAGAGAUGAUCACAUUGCCCAGCUGCACCACUUUCUGCAGGAAGUUUUUGGAGAGAGCCGUUCACACCCUUAUCCAGCCGCAAAUAGUUUGAUGUGAUGUCCUACAGUAUCUGUUUUUUAUCACUCUGCUUUCUCAGGUUUUUCUUUGAUCAUCGUUGCGCUUGCUGCAACUGUUAUUAGACUAUUUCUACUACAGUUCAUAUCGUUUUAUUAUACCCACUGCUUUAAAUAUAAAUAUUUCUAUUGUUGCAUUAGUUGUUAUAAUGUUAACUUGCUAUUGUGGUUGCUGUUCAUCUGUUCCAUGAAUGCCUGUUACCUAGCAUCUUUAUUAGGAUUUUGGUGGUUCUGCUGACACCCAUUAUUAUUAUAGUUCAUGUCAUUAUUAUAUGCCUCUCUCUCUC